rnacentral:rRNA from 1 species
UACGAAGGGUGCUAGCGUUGUUCGGAAUUACUGGGCGUAAAGCGCGCGUAGGCGGUUUAACAAGUCAGAGGUGAAAGCCCUGGGCUCAACCCAGGAAUUGCCUUUGAAACUGUUAGACUUGAGUGUCGGAGGGGAUAGCGGAAUUGCUAAUGUAGAGGUGAAAUUCGUAGAUAUUAGCAGGAACACCGGUGGCGAAGGCGGCUAUCUGGACGACAACUGACGCUGAGGCGCGAAAGCACGGGGAUCAAACAGG